UGUGUUUAAAAACAGGUGAUCUACCGUAC
rnacentral:piRNA from 1 species